rnacentral:rRNA from 1 species
CGGAUGCCUACCAUGCAAGUCGAGCGGAUGAAGGGAGCUUGCUUCCUGAUUCAGCGGCGGACGGGUGAGUAAUGCCUAGGAAUCUGCCUGGUAGUGGGGGACAACGUCUCGAAAGGGACGCUAAUACCGCAUACGUCCUACGGGAGAAAGUGGGGGCUCUUCGGACCUCACGCUAUCAGAUGAGCCUAGGUCGGAUUAGCUAGUUGGUGGGGUAAUGGCUCACCAAGGCGACGAUCCGUAACUGGUCUGAGAGGAUGAUCAGUCACACUGGAACUGAGACACGGUCCAGACUCCUACGGGAGGCAGCAGUGGGGAAUAUUGGACAAUGGGCGAAAGCCUGAUCCAGCCAUGCCGCGUGUGUGAAGAAGGUCUUCGGAUUGUAAAGCACUUUAAGUUGGGAGGAAGGGCACUGACCUAAUACGUCUGUGUUUUGACGUUACCGACAGAAUAAGCACCGGCUAACUCUGUGCCAGCAGCCGCGGUAAUACAGAGGGUGCAAGCGUUAAUCGGAAUUACUGGGCGUAAAGCGCGCGUAGGUGGUUUGUUAAGUUGAAUGUGAAAUCCCCGGGCUCAACCUGGGAACUGCAUCCAAAACUGGCAGGCUAGAGUAGGGCAGAGGGUGGUGGAAUUUCCUGUGUAGCGGUGAAAUGCGUAGAUAUAGGAAGGAACACCAGUGGCGAAGGCGACCACCUGGGCUCAUACUGACACUGAGGUGCGAAAGCGUGGGGAGCAAACAGGAUUAGAUACCCUGGUAGUCCACGCCGUAAACGAUGUCAACUAGCCGUUGGAAUCCUUGAGAUUUUAGUGGCGCAGCUAACGCAUUAAGUUGACCGCCUGGGGAGUACGGCCGCAAGGUUAAAACUCAAAUGAAUUGACGGGGGCCCGCACAAGCGGUGGAGCUUGUGGUUUAAUUCGAAGCAC